rnacentral:lncRNA from 1 species
AAUAAUCUGCUAUGCUAUACGGAGUGUUGGGAAGACUUGGCAUAGAAGACUUGUUCAUCUACGGAAAUGAGAAUGUUCUCAGAGAUUUAUUCUUCACUUAUGAGUCAAUGAAAUAUGACAGCUGAUACACUAUAGGCUCUGCUCAAGGCUCAGUCUCUCUGUGCAAAACAAUUGGAUAUCGGUGGAUAGAGCUGGUUAGUUGAGCCAUCUGGUAUUUUACUUGAAGAACAUCCAGAUCUUGUUGGCCAAAGUCCAUGGUGGUGCAGACCAGAUUUCAAAACAUGGCUCAAGGAGGCAAGAAACCAUUCCCUCAAGUGUUUAUGAAGUGAAUCACAAAUUUAUUCAGCAUGACUUCUUACCCAGAGAAAUGAAGGCAGGAUGGCAAAAAGCUGAGUCUCCAAGCCUUCAACCUUAGGAUCUCCUUGGGAAAGGGUCACAAGGGCAAUUAUUUUCAGCUGUCCCUGCCUUGCUUCCGCUGGCCAUGGAAAUCUCCAGGCAGGAGGAAGGCAGCCUCUGCCUAGACCAUAGACUGGCCUAGACAGAGCUUGGAAAGUCGGGAUACAGUUUUCCUGAAGCUUCUUAAUUUCCCCCAUCCCUCCCUGAUUGAAAACACCACUUAUCCCAUUACAGCAUGUGGAAAGAGAGGGGAGAGAAGCAGGCGGAUCUGAACUCGGGAUAAAAAUGACUUUAUGGGGUUAUUAUUCUCAUCCAUAACAGAUGACCAUUUUCAUGUCAUUUAGCUGAUUCCCCUACAGGCUCACUUGGAGAAAUACAAAGUGCAGUCAUCAUGCUAUUUAUCUUGAGCCCCCCCCCCCCCCCCGACGAGACCCGUAUACCUCCAUGUAAUGACUGGAGAGCUGUCGCUUGAGUAUUUUCUUGGAAAUGUCUGGCCAUUUGCUAGAGACCAGUUACCCAUUAUUUCAUCGGCUGCAUGUGAAGAAUUCCCCUCUCUCACUUACACUGUGGUGACAGCUGCUUCUUGCCCGGCAAAGCUUCGGCAGGAGCUCCUAAGUACCCCCAGCCAUCUUGGAUUGGGAGCUCUCGGUGAAAUUUGAAGAUGACUCGUCAUUCAAAGGGCACAAAAGCACAACAGGUUUUGAAUGCAAGAAGAUGCUAGAGUAGCAAAAGCUUUGAGCAGGCUGCAGCACCCUAGUCGCUGACAUCAGCAAUCUGCUUAUUAUUAUAUUGCUAUGCAGCUGGAUCUCCGUCUGUGGCACUGCUGGCUAAGUAUCAUUUCCACUUUAUGUAAAGAACAUGGAUUCGGUGCUGUGUCUCCUGAGCUAAUGAGUCAGAUUUCGAAUGAGUCUCUUAGCCGUGCCUACAUAGGAACGAGGUGAGUCCAGGCUACGGACCAACUUCCAGGGACUUGGAUAAAAGAAAAAAAAAUAACUUGACUCACUCUCAGUGUAAUCUGGUCAGAAAAGAGCCAGAGAGUAAGUCAGAGAAUGGGGAACAGUGUAUGUUCUCAUGGGUUCGCACAAUGCACACCCUUUAGUGAUUUUCAGAACUGGAUUCCUGAGGAACUUCUAACAUGAGGCUAGAAAGGGGAAGAAGCAUGGGGCCUGUAAGUCCUGGGCUGUCCUCAGUGGAGUAUCGCAAAUUAAACCAAAGAAAUCCAAGGCUGCUUCAUCAAAAUAGGUUGAGGCUGUCUAAGGAAAAUCAUUAGCUCCUAACAAGUCACAUAAGUAUACGUGGACAGAAAGUAUCUAAUGCAAAUAUAGCUGUAGCACAGAGUGUUUACAUAAUAGGCCAUCAUCAACUUCCUCUUGAUUUUAUAAAUGAGGGAGGAAUCAUGACAAAUGCAUACUUUAUUUCUGUUGAUAACAGCAGGCCAUACAUUACCAUAGGGUACCUUUUGUUUUUCUGUUUCAGUAGGCAGGUACAAAUAAACGAGGAACAUGGGUAGUUCCCA